rnacentral:tRNA from 1 species
UAAAACUAUAUUCAAAUAUAUGAUAUAUGAGUUGCAUUCAUAAGGUGUUUUAAGACUAGUUUUAA